UUUCCUCCGCCGAUAGCCUUAGGAGAGUCUUACCGGAGCAGCUCCCUUCUCAUUGCAAUCUAUCAGUUUCCGACAAGGGCUAGGCGGUGAUUUUGGUGUACUUAAACUCCACGCAACUCAAUCUUCACGUAGGCAUCUCUAAAUUCGAAAUCCGAUACGGUUGGCGAUACCGGCUUUUGGAACCUGGUGUUUUUUAAGCUAGCGGAAUUUUAGAUUUUGACUCGGUAUAAUUUUAUUUAGAUCUUAAAAAUUAUCUAAAAAUUAUUAAAAAAUGUUAAGUGUAUCAAUUGUUAGUUAUUGAUAAUUAAUUAAAUUAUUUAAUUAAUUAGUAGCUGAUUCUAGAAAUACUGCAUAUUAAUAAUAGAAAGAAUUAUUAUUUUAUUGUAUAAAUUGAAGGUGUGAUUAAUUAAUUAAAUAUGAGGAAAUAAUUGUAGGUUGUAUCAUGAAUAAUAUUAUCAGUUUGCCGGACUGUUGAUUUUGUAUUGUAAUUUGGGUUGUGUUGCAGAGUCGGAAAAUAAUGCAGUUUUGGUGGCCCAAUUCUCGUUAAAUAAUUAUGAAAUAUUUGAAGUGUUUCUAGCAGGCUUUGAACCCAUUAUAGGGAAGGUAAAUUUUCAUAUUUUAGGGAAAGUUCUAUCGAAUUUUCGGUAUCAAAAUUCCUUAGGCAGUCUAAUCUAAGAGUCUACGCCUAGGGAAUGAAUAUUUCAUUAAUUUCAUCCGAGGCGUAGGGAACAGUUAGUGGAACUUGGCAGAACUGAGAGUUAGAAUCAUAUAUUCUACCCUCUAUGUCAUAUAUGCAUUUCAAUAUAAUUCUUAAAUGAAUAAUUAAUAUGGUUAUUUUAGUAGUAUAAGUAAUAUUAAAUCUAUUUUUAUCUUCAUCACUGCUAAUAUUAUUAAUAUUGAUAUAAUGGUUGUUAUUAUUAUUAUUCUUAUUAUUAUUAUUGUUUGUGCCACUACUUUUAUUUCAUCUCAUUAUUAUUAUUAUUAUUAUCACUGUUAUUAUUAUUUAAAUAUUAUUAAUAUUAUAAAAUUUUGUGCAUCAUGUUACUUAAUUUUUUAUUGAUGUUAAAUAUAUAUUGUGGUUCGGAAUAAGGCAACGAUAGAACAUGCCACAUGAUGGGCUCCAUUAGGACCAUGUGCGUACCAGUGAAAAUCAGAAUUAGGUAAUAAAGGAAUAUUCAUGAUGUGCUCUGUUGAGUGCAGCUUUCUGAGCCUAUGGAAGUCUAAAUUGCCAAAGAAAGGUCCAUAGUCGAGCGUUGCUCUCUGAACGCCGACUACAUUAGUAUUCAAGUGAUCAGAUUGGACUUAAGAAUUUUGGUUGAGCUUUGCUCUCUGAGUGCCACUCUUAUUGGAUUAAGAGAGCCAAAAGACUGUUAGAUUUGGAGAUUUAGAGUGUGCUGGAGUGCUCGUCCUGUGUGUUAAAUUUGCAUGUCUUUUUAAAAUUACGAUAUGAUACGCAUUUGUUAUUUGUGAUAUUUUAUACUAUUAAAUAAUUAUUUUAUAUUUACAGUUAUUAUAAUUCUGAGUAUAUGAUUUUAAUUUACUCUCGAGACUGAUAGUUUCAAUUUUAAAUUUUUCAGGUGACAGCUAGAUUCUCUACAAACUUCUUUUUGCAUCCCGACUUUCUUUCCCCUUUGGACUUGUUGUAAUUAAAUCUUAACUUUUGUAUUUCAAAUUAUUUAAAAUUCUAGACUCUCUGCAGUAGUGUAUUUGAUACUUUACAUUUUAUCUUGGUCUGUUAAAGAUAAUAAAAUUUUUUUCUAGUAAUCUAGCUUAAGAAUUUAUUUGGCUGUGUGGUGAAUUGUGAAAGAAUUAUUGAUUUAUUUAACUAGUGUAUAUAUUCAUGCAUGCGAUUAUCUAAAUUAUUGGCUAAUUAGGUUUGCUACGGGUUUCAGAGGAUUUAAAUCUAUUCAUUUUCUAGCGCCGAUUACGGCCCCACAGAUCGGGUCAUGACAAAAUAAUCCAGGUAACGAGAAUUUUUGUCAAGUACAUAAAAUGUUGGGGAUGCAAGGAAAAUAUCCAAUUAAACCGGUGAUGAUAAGAAAUGUCAAUGAAACAAGCAGAUUCAUGACUUGAAAGGUUGUGCACAGAAUAAAUAGGG
rnacentral:lncRNA from 1 species